GUGUGUGUGUGUGUGUGUGUGUGUGUGUGUGUGUGUGUGCGCGCGCGUGCGCGCGCGUGCACACGCGUGCAAGCGCAC
rnacentral:pre_miRNA from 1 species